rnacentral:misc_RNA from 1 species
UCGAAGCCUAGAAAGCACGACCGCGAACUAGUUCAAAAUCGAGGCAACAUUGGGAGGUCCUUGGGCCUCUCUCUUUUGUCCUUGCUCGGAGGGCUGGGAGCCUAGGCUCCUGUCAUUCGAAACUUAACGAACCCCGGCGCGAACAGCGCCAAGGAAUCAAAACGAAAGAGCUUGUUCGGUCGACCCGUCCUUGGGCCGGCGUCGGACAUGGUCUGUUCAUUAUAAUCAUAACGACUCUCGGCAACGGAUAUCUCGGCUCUCGCAUCGAUGAAGAACGUAGCGAAAUGCGAUACUUGGUGUGAAUUGCAGAAUCCCGUGAACCAUCGAGUCUUUGAACGCAAGUUGCGCCAGAAGCCUUUAGGCCAAGGGCACGUCUGCCUGGGCGUCUCGCACUGCGAUGCCCCCCGCAAACAAGCGUGGUGGCAAAACUUGGCCUCCCGUGAGUCCAUCUCGCGGAUGGCUUAAAAUUGAGCCUCGAGACGGUCAGACGUCGCGACGAGUGGUGGUUAAGAGGCCUUUGGCCUACUUGCUUUACAAGUCGGACGCUACCAUUUCGUUUUGCUCGAAUUUAACCCCCAAGGAGUGCGUCUCUGCACUCUUAGCAUC